GUCCGUGGAAGAAGUGAUUGAAUAGGUU
rnacentral:piRNA from 1 species